rnacentral:rRNA from 1 species
AAAGCGCACGUAGGCGGUUAUGUAAGACAGAUGUGAAAUCCCCGGGCUUAACCUGGGAACUGCAUUUGUGACUGCAUAGCUGGAGUACGGCAGAGGGGGAUGGAAUUCCGCGUGUAGCAGUGAAAUGCGUAGAUAUGCGGAGGAACACCGAUGGCGAAGGCAAUCCCCUGGGCCUGUACUGACGCUCAUGCACGAAAGCGUGGGGAGCAAACAGGAUUAGAUACCCCGGU